rnacentral:rRNA from 1 species
ACGGGGUGCAGCAGGCGCGAAAACUUUGCAAUACACGAAAGUGUGACAGGGCUAUCCCGAGUGCCAUCCGCUGAGGAAGGUUUUUACCCAGUCUAGAACGCUGGGGGAAUAAGGAGAGGGCAAGUCUGGUGUCAGCCGCCGCGGUAAUACCAGCUCUCCGAGUGGUGUGGAUGUUUAUUGGGCCUAAAGCAUCCGUAGCCGGCUUAGCAAGUCUUUCGUUAAAUCCGACGAUUUAAUCGCUGGGCCGCGGAAGAUACUACUAGGCUUGAGGACGGGAGAGGUUGACGGUAGUCCCAGGGUAGGGGUGAAAUCCUAUAAUCCUAGGGGGACGACCAGUGGCGAAGGCGUCUAGCUAGGACGGGUCUGACGGUGAGGAACGAAGCCCUGGGGCGCAAACGGGAUUAGAUACCCGGGUAGUCCAGGGUGUAAACGCUGCUUGCUUGAUGUUAGCUGGGCUCCGAGCUCAGCUAGUGUCGGAGAGAAGUUGUUAAGCAAGCUGCCUGGGAAGUACGGCCGUAAGACUGAAACUUAAAGGAAUUGGCGGGGGAGCAC